rnacentral:rRNA from 1 species
UACGUAGGGGGCGAGCGUUGUCCGGAGUUACUGGGCGUAAAGCGCACGCAGGCGGUCUGCUAAGUUUGGAGUGACAGUUGGUGGCUUAACUGCCAAAGUGCUUCGAAAACUGACAGACUUGAGGGCUUCAGAGGGACACGGAAUCCGGGUGGAGUGGUGAAAUGCGUAGAGAUCCGGAGGAACACCAAAGGCGAAGGCAGUGUCCUGGGGAGUACCUGACGCUCAGGU